AUUGAACGCUGGCGGCAGGCCUAACACAUGCAAGUCGAGCGGAUGAAGGGAGCUUGCUCCUGGAUUCAGCGGCGGACGGGUGAGUAAUGCCUAGGAAUCUGCCUGGUAGUGGGGGAUAACGUCCGGAAACGGGCGCUAAUACCGCAUACGUCCUGAGGGAGAAAGUGGGGGAUCUUCGGACCUCACGCUAUCAGAUGAGCCUAGGUCGGAUUAGCUAGUUGGUGGGGUAAAGGCCUACCAAGGCGACGAUCCGUAACUGGUCUGAGAGGAUGAUCAGUCACACUGGAACUGAGACACGGUCCAUACUCCUACGGGAGGCAGCAGUGGGGAAUAUUAGACAAUGGGCGAAAGCCUGGUCCAGCCAUGCCGCGUGUGUGAAGAAGGUCUUCGGAUUGUAAAGCACUUUAAGUUGGGAGGAAGGGCAGUAAGUUAAUACCUUGCUGUUUUGACGUUACCAACAGAAUAAGCACCGGCUAACUUCGUG
rnacentral:rRNA from 1 species